rfam:Ailuropoda melanoleuca scaffold125_83, whole genome shotgun sequence.
GCCUGGGUGGCUCAGUCGUUGAGCAUCUGCUUUCAGCUCAGGGUCCUGGGAUCGAGCCCCACUUCAGGCU